AAUGCUUAGGAAUCUGCCUAUUAGUGGGGGACAACAUUCCGAAAGGAAUGCUAAUACCGCAUACGCCCUACGGGGGAAAGCAGGGGAUCUUCGGACCUUGCGCUAAUAGAUGAGCCUAAGUCAGAUUAGCUAGUUGGUGGGGUAAAGGCCUACCAAGGCGACGAUCUGUAGCGGGUCUGAGAGGACGAUCCGCCACACUGGGACUGAGACACGGCCCAGACUCCUACGGGAGGCAGCAGUGGGGAAUAUUGGACAAUGGGCGAAAGCCUGAUCCAGCCAUGCCGCGUGUGUGAAGAAGGCCUUUUGGUUGUAAAGCACUUUAAGCGAGGAGGAGGCUACUGAGAUUAAUACUCUUGGAUAGUGGACGUUACUCGCAGAAUAAGCACCGGCUAACUCUGUGCCAGCAGCCGCGGUAAUACAGAGGGUGCGAGCGUUAAUCGGAUUUACUGGGCGUAAAGCGUGCGUAGGCGGCUUUUUAAGUCGGAUGUGAAAUCCCUGAGCUUAACUUAGGAAUUGCAUUCGAUACUGGGAAGCUAGAGUAUGGGAGAGGAUGGUAGAAUUCCAGGUGUAGCGGUGAAAUGCGUAGAGAUCUGGAGG
rnacentral:rRNA from 1 species